rnacentral:rRNA from 1 species
GAUGAACGCUGGCGGCGUGCCUAAUACAUGCAAGUCGAGCGAACAGACGAGGAGCUUGCUCCUCUGACGUUAGCGGCGGACGGGUGAGUAACACGUGGAUAACCUACCUAUAAGACUGGGAUAACUUCGGGAAACCGGAGCUAAUACCGGAUAAUAUAUUGAACCGCAUGGUUCAAUAGUGAAAGACGGUUUUGCUGUCACUUAUAGAUGGAUCCGCGCCGCAUUAGCUAGUUGGUAAGGUAACGGCUUACCAAGGCGACGAUGCGUAGCCGACCUGAGAGGGUGAUCGGCCACACUGGAACUGAGACACGGUCCAGACUCCUACGGGAGGCAGCAGUAGGGAAUCUUCCGCAAUGGGCGAAAGCCUGACGGAGCAACGCCGCGCGAGUGAUGAAGGUCUUCGGAUCGUAAAACUCUGUUAUUAGGGAAGAACAAAUGUGUAAGUAACUAUGCACGUCUUGACGGUACCUAAUCAGAAAGCCACGGCUAACUACGUG